rnacentral:rRNA from 1 species
CCUACGGGUGGCGGCAGUGGGGAAUAUUGGACAAUGGGGGGAACCCUGAUCCAGCCAUGCCGCGUGUGUGAAGAAGGCCCUCGGGUUGUAAAGCACUUUCAGUGAGGAAGAACGCCUGGUGGUUAAUACCCAUCAGGAAAGACAUCACUCACAGAAGAAGCACCGGCUAACUCCGUGCCAGCAGCCGCGGUAAUACGGAGGGUGCGAGCGUUAAUCGGAAUUACUGGGCGUAAAGCGCGCGUAGGUGGCUUGAUAAGCCGGUUGUGAAAGCCCCGGGCUCAACCUGGGAACGGCAUCCGGAACUGUCAAGCUAGAGUGCAGGAGAGGAAGGUAGAAUUCCCGGUGUAGCGGUGAAAUGCGUAGAGAUCGGGAGGAAUACCAGUGGCGAAGGCGGCCUUCUGGACUGACACUGACACUGAGGUGCGAAAGCGUGGGUAGCAAACAGGAUUAGAUACCCUAGUAGUC